rnacentral:rRNA from 1 species
GUAGGUGGCAAGCGUUGUCCGGGAAUUAUUGGGCGUAAAGCGCGCGCAGGCGGUUCUUUAAGUCUGAUGUGAAAGCCCACGGGCUCAACCGUGGAGGGUCAUUGGAAACUGGAGAACUUGAGUACAGAAGAGGAAAGCGGAAUUCCACGUGUAGCGGUGAAAUGCGUAGAGAUGUGGAGGAACACCAGUGGCGAAGGCGGCUUUCUGGUCUGUAACUGACGCUGAGGCGCGAAAGCGUGGGGAGCAAACAGGAUUAGAUACCCUGGUAGUCCACGACCGUAAACGAUGAGAGCUAAGUGUUAGGGGUUUCCGCCCCUUAGUGCUGCAGCUAACGCAUUAAGCACUCCGCCUGGGGAGUACGGCCGCAAAGGCUG